CACGUAGGGGGCAAGCGUUGUCCGGAUUUAUUGGGCGUAAAGAGCUCGUAGGCGGUUCGGUAAGUCGGGUGUGAAACCUCCAGGCUCAACCUGGAGACGCCACCCGAUACUGCUGUGACUAGAGUCCGGUAGGGGAGCGUGGAAUUCCUGGUGUAGCGGUGAAAUGCGCAGAUAUCGGGAAGAACACCUAUGGCGAAGGCAGCUCUCUGGGACGGUACUGACGCUGAGACGCGAAAGCGUGGGGAGCAAACAGG
rnacentral:rRNA from 1 species